CUCUUCCUCCUCUACAGAUUCUUCCUCCACAAAAGCACGAAUCCCAACCACCGCCUCCCACCGAGCCCUCCUUCCCUCCCUAUCAUCGGCCACCUCCACCUGGUCAAGGAGCCCCUCCACCGAACCCUGCACGAUCUCUCGCUCCAGCACGGCCCAGUCUUCUUCCUCAGGUUCGGCUCGCGCAAAACCGUAGUCGUCUCCUCGCUGCCGGCCGUCGAGGAGUUUUUUACUGAGAAGGAUGUCGCCUUCGCCCACCGGCCCCGCUUGCUAUCGGGGAAGCUCCUCGGCUAUGACUACGGCAUCUUGGGCCUAAGCCCUUACGGUGAAUACUGGCGCAACCUCCGCCGCUUCACAGCUGUGGAGAUAUUCUCCGCGAGGCCCCUUGCUGAUUACUCCGCUGUCCGGCAGGAGGAGGUUCUUUCCCUGGUGAGGCAACUGUUUCGAGAUCACUGCUGUCUCGGAGACAGGAGUAAGUAUUGCCUAGACACAAUUUACCUGGCGGUCUCAUAUGAAGAAUCUACCUCUAUCCAAAAAAGGCACAAGUUAUCUUGCAGUUUGAUUGUGUCUACCAUACACCUCACGAAGAGAAGUUAUAUCUGUUUAUUUUUUCUUUUCUUCCUGCAGAAGAUAGGGAAUGGCUGAAGGUGGAUAUGCGGCGGAGGUUGUUAGAUCUUACCCUGAAUGUGAUGAUGCGUAUGAUCGCCGGAAAGAGCUACUUCGGGACGGACCAGGUGUCGGAGGAAGGGAGGGAGUUCAAGGAGAUCAUGAGAGAGUUCUCGCAGCUUUUCGGAAGCUCUGCGUACAUGGGGGAUUUCAUCCCAGCGUUGGGGUGGGCUGAUUUUCACGGGGUGAAGAAGAAGAUGAAGAGCGUGAUGAGGAAGGUGGACGUGUUUUUACAGCAGCUGGUCGACGAGCAAAGCGGGAAAAGGAACAAGCCGUCGUCCGCGGCGGCGGCGGCGGCCGCGUCAGUGUCAUCAAAAGGGGUCGACGGGACGAGAUCAUCGAGGACGACAUUCAUCGAUCGGAUGUUGGACGUCCAAGAACAGGAUCCGGAAUUCUACACCAAUACAACAGUCAAAAGCGUCGUUCUGGUGAGCACCGUCACUCUCUAUUUACCAUAUUUUUAUUUACCGGCAAGUUAGGGACGGCGCAACCUUUUUUACCAACCUUUUAAAAAUUUAAAUUGUUAGAUUUUUUUUAUUAUCGGAAAGUAUAUUUUCAAACUCAGAAUCUCGUGUCCUCCUACAAUCUAAUAUACUAAACUGUUCAUAAAAUUUUAAAUCGUUAAUUGUUAUUCAGAUUAAGUGGCAUGUCACUUCGUAUUUCCUCGUAUUUCCUCGCCUGUCCAAAUCUGUCGCCAGACGGGCUAUGGAAAUGCAAUUUUUCCAUGAUCAUGCCAAACUAAAUGAAGACAACUUCAGAAUAAAAUAAAAAAAAUCUUCGCAUUUCCUCUUCCGUUCCUUUGAAAUGACUAAUCGACUUAACGCUUUCGCCCGAGACAAAUUUUACAAGUUAAAGAAUUUUUUGGGGGGGCGAGAUCAAGAUGAUCACGUAAGAAAGCCGAUCGCGUAGCGCCCACCUUAGUUGAAUUUCGGUAGCUAGUGCCGAUAUUUUCCACGCAAGGAAAAGGUUAAGGUGCAAGUGGGAGGGACUGAUGAUGAUAUUGUUUGAUCAAAUAUUGGUAAAAGUCCCUAUCAUGAUGAUGAUACUGUUUGAUCAAAUAUAGUCUUUUUCUCACAAUCUUAUUAUGAUCACACGAAAUUAUUUGACUACCCAAGAUGAUUAUGUGAGGUAGCUUAUCCUUUUAAGAUUUCGUUCAUUUCGUAAAAAAUAUAACGUUCUUAGAAAAUAUUUUCCACAAAGUUCUUUUUCGAGAAUAAUGAUAAUAUCUUUUAGUGCGUGGCUGAAACUUAAAAAUGAAUUAGAAAAUAUUUUAUGUCGUUUGGUGUGGAAAAUUCAAGUUGAUUUUCGUCUAUGCACUCAUUUUAAUAAAUUUUUAUUUUCUUAUUUUCUUAAUUAUUUAAAAAAAAUAAAAAUUUUUAACUUUUUAUUUUCUUUCUACUUUUUUCUUUUUUAUUUUAUUUUUUUAUCCCCCCAUUCUUCUUUGCCAGCAGCUAGCGAUUGGCCAAGAAAGAAGAAAAGCAAAAAAAAAAAAAAGAUUUUGUUUUAGAAAAUAAAAAAAUAAAGAAGUCGGGGUUACUAGAGUGUGAAAUAAGAAAGAGUGAGUGAGGAAAAUAUUUCCUCUUAUUUGAAAUAGGGAAAUAUAUAUUUAUUUUGAAAGACUUUUUUCUCUUCAUAAAAAAUGAUUUUCUUAAUUAAUUUAUUUUCUAUGUAAAGCAUGCUGAAAAAUCUGGAAAUACGUUUUUCUGAAAAGGGUUUUUUGUUGAAAAGAGCAGAACCUACGAUUGCGAUGGCAGCCUCCAUCAAGUUCAACUGGCCGCCCAGCGGAAAAAAAAUAUCGUUUGGUCCUUAGAUACUUUCAAACCCUUGUGCUACAUAGUCAAGAGGGUCAUCAUUUGACAUAUAUCAAACCUCAGAAAAGAAGAAAGGGCUACCAGCAGUCCUUACAUUCUUAUCUUAUCAAGGACAGAGAACUAAAACUAGCCAUUCAAAUGUGUGGCCUAAGUCCAAGAUAGGAAUUUAAGUUGAGUGGCGCAUGACAUUUGGUUCGAUGCAUUUUCUUGUGCACAUUGCCAAAUGUACUAAUACCAGUAUAAGGAGCUUGUUUACUAGAUGACGUGUUAAACUUUAAAUAGCACUUAAAAAAAAAGGAUCAUAUUUAAUAACUAGUGCUACAUACUUUCAAACCCUUGUGCUACAUAGUCAAGAGGGUCAACAUCCGACAUAUAUCAAACCUCAGAAAAGAAGAAAGGGCUACCAGCAGUCCUUACAUUCUUAUCUUAUCAAGGACAGAGAACUAAAACUAGCCAUUCAAAUGUGUGGCCUAAGUCCAAGAUAGGAAUUUAAGUUGAGUGGCGCAUGACAUUUGAUUCGAUGCAUUUUCUUGUGCACAUUGCCAAAUGUACUAAUACCAGUAUAAGGCGUUUACUAAAUGAUGUGUUAAACUUUAAGUAGCACUUAAAAAAAAGGAUUAUAUUUAAUAACUAAUAUCAAUUUGAUACACUAUUUAGUAAACUAGUUUAGUUAUGAAUUUAUAUGACAUCUUAUCGAUGUGAAAUAUUUUUUUAUAUAGAUAGAUAAGACUCUAAACUAUUUAUUGAACGAGUUCAUUUGUCAAAAUUGAAAAGUGUAUACUUAUUAGAGUAUUUGAAUAUUUAAUGAUUUUUAUUUCGCUGGCAGUGUAUCAAAUGAAAGUAUAUUUAGUAAACCUAGCAGUUCUCUUUUUCUAUAACAUGAAGACCCACUUUAGGUAGAUUAGUCCUGUGAAUUGUGCAGGCAUUGCUGGUUGGUGGAGCCGACACCACGGCCACCACGAUAGAAUGGGCAAUGAUACUUCUCCUCAACCACUCCGAAGCAAUGCGAAGGGCUUGCGACGAAAUAGAAUCCAAAGUUGGACAUGACCGCCUCCUUGAAGAAUCCGACCUCGCUAAUCUCAGCUAUCUUCAGAACGUCGUUAGCGAGACGAUGAGGUUGUAUCCAUCAGUUCCGCUUCUUCUACCACAUGAAUCCUCGGAAGACACCACCAUCGGGAACUUCCGCGUUCCGCGAGGUACGAUGCUGCUGGUAAAUGCGUGGAGCCUUCACCGGGACCCCAAGCUAUGGAAGGAUGCCGAGAGUUUCAUGCCGGAGAGAUUUGACGGCGGCCAAGAGAGUAAUGAAGGGUUCAAAAUGAUUCCUUUCGGUGCGGGAAGGCGAGCAUGUCCUGGGGCUGCUCUUGGGAGGAGGGUGAUGGGGUUAGCGUUAGGAGCAUUGCUCCAGUGCUUCGAGUGGCGGAGAGUUGGCUUGGAGGAGAUCGACACGACGGAGGGCGACGGCCUCACUGCGCCACCGGCGGAGCCUUUGCAGGCCUUGUGCAAGCCACGUGAAAUCAUCACGCCCUUCCUGGCCAGUGGAGAUGAUCACAUUAAAUAAGAAACGAUGACGAAAUGCUAGCUAGAGACGCACACUACGCGUAAGGUUAGGAAGCAACAUGGAACAAUAUGAAGUGGAGUAAUCUUUCUGGAUGUUUUUAUUUUACACCAGCCCUAUCAAAAUAAGUUUCAGACUACAGUCGAUUUAGCUUUUCCAAGGAGUUUUUGAGCUCCAAAACCCAUUCGAUAAAAAUUAUGAUAUUUGGCAAAUUAUUUUGAAAACCACUUUGGAAAAAAAUUAACCUUGGCAACAUUGAAAAUCCCAGAUUGGGACCUGCUUUCGACUUUCGGUAUUUUUGGAAGGUAAGUUUUUCAAUUAAUGAAGUUAGACUUUUUUGCCCUGAAAAAAUUCACUAGAGACAGCCAUUAGGGGCUGUGUUCAAAGUGCGAGAAUGCAUGAUUGCUAAUAUUCUUGCACAACUUUGAGAAGUUUUUUCUCUACUUGACUUGUUUUGGUCGGUCCAUGUUCACGAGCGAUCAAUCUAAUCAAACAAUAACUUAAUUGGGGAAUGCUAUGUCCAAAUUCUAUGAUACAUGUUAGGAACGGUUAACAACCCUGCAUAAUCUUUUUGGUACCAUGUAUUUCAAUUUAGUUUCAACAUGCAUUUGUCAACUACUUUUCUAAAAAUAUGAGAUGCAAUUAUAAUUUUUGGUGACAUAAUCAAGUGAAAGGUUCACAUCAAGUCGCGCCUUGGGAUGAUUGCUUUUCAUGUAUGUUUUGAAAAAUGGAUGUGAGUAAAAACUAUGACAUUGCAUAUAAUGCCCACAUCAUAUGAUGACGUGGCGUGUAAAGACAUGUUGUGGUAACAAUGAUGAAUCAUGUGGCAAGCGAAUGUAUGAAUGGAUAUUUGUUGAGAUGACAUGGGCGACCAGAUCACUAUUUUGAGUCGACUUAUUUGGGCAUGUAUAUUGUCUCAAAAGAUGCACGUGACUGCUUCAUAGCAACUCUCUCUUAUAGCCGGUUUUGAAAAAUUAAACUUUUUCGCCGAAAUUUUUAUGAUGUUUCUAAUGAGUUUGUUAAAAAAUGCGCCCGUUGCGCUUGUUAAUUAAUGAAAUAACAAAAUAUUUCGUCUUUCAAUUAGAUGACAUCAAUGGGCAAGUUCAAAACGAGCUUGUGAAUUAGGCAUAUUUUGUUGCCUAGGCCGGCAGUAACAAAAAAUCUAUGUACAAAAUUGUUGGGCCAAACCGGAUUGGGCAGAGUUUAAUAACUAAUUGGCUUUGCAAAAGCCCUCCCAAAAGGGCCUCUUUGGGCCUUUGUUACUUAGGCAUGCCUGGUGGUGAGUAAAUUGUCCAAAAAACCCUAAACCUAUUAUACUUUACCCAAUUCAAUUUUAGAUAUUUUAACUUUAUGAAUUAAGUCCUAAACAUUUUUGCAUUUUGUAUUGAGUUAAUCCGGCCAAUUUUAACUGGAAAUCUUUGACAUUGACGCUAAUGGUCCUAUGUGGCAAGGGCAGCGCUAAUGUGGAUAAUGUAUAUAAUUUAUUUUGUAAAUUGUUUAUUUUUUCUUAUAUUUAAUUUCCUUUUUUCCCCCAAUUGGCCAACCCUCGUCGGUAGAAAGAAAGAAAAAGAAAGAAGAAAGAAAGAAAUAAUAAAAAUAUGGUCCACAUUAGUGUUGAUUGCCCUUUGCGGCACUACCCAUGCCUACAUUAGUGAUUUUUGAUUAAAAUUGGCCAGAUGAAUUCAAUUGACAAAACAUGAAAAUGUUUAUGAUUUAAUUGACACAAUUGAAAGGUCUAAGACUGAAUCGAUCAAAUUGCAAUAUAUUUAUGACUUUUUGAACAAUUCUUUCUACCAGUGGCCAUUAGACUCAUAAUCAAGUCCAUUCUCAAUUUUUCACCCUCAAAUCUGAUUUAAUCAUUGUGCGAUCUCCUAGAUAAAUAACAUAGGGUUGGGUCUAGUCUAAUUAAGGCUUUCCUUUUGGACAUAGAAUCAAAUUAUCUAUUUAUAGCUGGAUAACAUUAAUAUUAUUUAAGAAAAGUCUAUUUUUAUUUCAACGACGUAACAACGUGUCUUAAAUCAAAGGUGCCCUAAUUUCCAAAAGAUGACACAUUACUUUAGGCUAGACAAUUUUGCUAGAAUAUUGUCCGGUGAGGGAGGUUGGGUGGGAUUUUCAUCGAAAUUCACCAUUAUUUAGGUGUUGGGACCCAAAAUGGAACCAGGAUUGUGUCCAGUGGGAUUUUUGGCCAUCUCAUGCCGAACAGCAGGGCUUGAGUGCCCGGCCUUACAUCUUCAGCACGUAACCCACGGACGGUGGUUUAUGACAUCGAACUCGAACACGACAACAUGUCGUGACGUCAUAAAACAAUAUCAUUAUAUGCUGUGAUAUUUUCGGGCUUAAUUACCACCGCACGUUCCUGUAAUUGUACGGUUACAAACGAGACUUGGAUAAACAAGUGUGCAGACUCCCAGGCUGGAGUGCCUCUGAAAUUGGUAUCCGAUGCUGGGAAGGAUAAGCAAUGACUAUUUCCAUUUGGUUUCUUCCACAAUCAAAAAGGCCACAAGGUGAAGAGCACCAUGAUCUUCGACCUUGUCGUUUUUGCCUUCUUGUAUGAUGAAUUGCCAAUGUUCGGCCCAUCAAUCUUCACGUUUUGAAAUUGCUCAAAAAAAAAAAAAAAAUCUUCACGUUUUGAAAGGUGUGCAAAGGAUGAAACUGUUCGUGUCUAUUCAUAAGUGUGAACUCAUCCUUUGGACAAUUGGUGGUUGAAAUAUAAAAAGAAACGAUUAGAUGAUAGUUUAUAAUUUAUUUUAAGAAUAAUAAUAUGUUUUAAAUAAUAAAAAAUCAAAUAAUAGAUAACUAUAAAUUUUUAUGGGUCACUUUUUAAAAAUUUUUUUAUUCACAACAAACUUCAAACAUAAUAUGAUUGAUUAUACAGUUCAUUUUUCUAAAAAAAAAAAUUAAUUUUUUUUAAAAAAUGAUUAUUUGAAUUGCUUGAAAUGAAUUUGUCAAUAAUAAACGUUUUUCAUUAUCAAUGACAAUUUAUGUCGCGAAUGAUGACAAUAUUUUUCGUCAUUCAUUUUUGUAAGUGAUUUAGGUGAUCAAAUUUUUUUUUUUUGGAAAAUAAUUUUCAAAUCAUUGAAGUUUUGCGAAACAAAUGCACCAUAUGUUUACAUCUAAUUGAGAAAAAUGCAUUAGAACUAUAAUUGAGAAAAAUGCAUUAGAACUCUUGCAACUUCUAUUCGAGUUGUAAUGUUAUUAUGAAUUUUUUUAUCAUGCUAUUAAAUUUUAUAGAAUGAACAUAGUUAAUGGAAUAUCCUUAACGCAAUAAUUUACUAUUGAAUACCCUGGACAUGAUAGUCUUUUGACUAAACAUGUCUACAUGAAGAUCACAUAUAGAUUUUAUUGACACUAACUUAUGAAAGAACACAGGCAUAUGGGUUAAAUUUCAUGUCUAAUGGGUUUGACACAAACAAGAUGCGAUGACUAAUGUCAUGUCUUGAAGGUUGACAUGAAAUUGAUUGGAACUUGAUUAGUUUAAUUUGACUUCACUAAUUUCAUGUCGUGUUUGAGUUGUAUUAUCAUGUCAUAUUCAGAAAUUGCUAACCCUAAUAAAGCAACCUUGCACUCCAUACAUCUCCACAUAUUGAUCGAUGCACCCUUCCGGCACCCUCUCCAGCUCCGUCGUAAGGAAGUAGCUCACGACGAAUCUGCCCCCGCCGUUCACCAUCGCGUACGAGUAAAUCAGCUUUCUGGAAUUAUAUCUUUAUGGUUAAUACAUAGCUCCAUGCUUGUCGUCUAUAGUGGACAGUUCAUAAAAAAUUGAGGAAAACCAACGCAUGCACCUCCGCGCAAAUCAAGGAAGAUACCCUCCUUCAUGUUCAUAUCAUCUUGCCUCAUCAGUCGCGCACUUUUCCUUAACUAUAAUUUAUUCUUUAAAUGGUUUUAAAUUGAUGCGUUCCUCGUCGCCUAGUAGUAUACAAGAACUUCAACUCAACAAACAGUUCAAUCGACACUUUUCCACUGAGAAAAUGGAGGAAGAAGCUCCUCAUCAAUGGCUGAACCUAGCACUGAUCUCUCUCUCCCUCCUCUUCCUCCUCUACAGAUUCUUCCUCCACAAAAGCACGAAUCCCAACCACCGCCUGCCACCGAGCCCUCCUUCCCUCCCUAUCAUCGGCCACCUCCACCUGGUCAAGGAGCCCCUCCACCGAACCCUACACGAUCUCUCGCUCCAGAGCGGCCCAGUCUUCUUCCUCAGGUUCGGCUCGCGCAAAAUCGUAGUCGUCUCCUCGCUGCCGGCCGUCGAGGAGUUUUUUACUGAGAAGGAUGUCACCUUCGCCAACCGGCCCCGCUUGCUAUCGGGGAAGCUCCUCGGCUACGACUACAGCGUCUUGGGCCUAAUGCCUUACGGUGACUACUGGCGCAACAUCCGCCGCUUCACAGCUGUGGAGAUGUUCUCCGCGAGGCCCCUCGCUGAUUACUCCGCUGUCCGGCAGGAGGAGGUUCUUUCCCUGGUGAGGCAACUGUUUCGAGAUCACUGCUGUCUCAGAGACCGGAGUAAGUAUUGCUUAGACACAAUUUACCUGGCGGCUGCAUAUGAAGAAUCUACCUCUAUCCAAAAAAGGCACAAGUUAUCUUGCAGUUUGAUUGUGUCUACCAUACACCUCACGAAGAGAAGUUAUAUCUGUUUAUUUUUUCUUUUCUUCCUGCAGAAGAUAGGGAAUGGCUGAAGGUGGAUAUGCGGUGGAGGUUGUUAGAUCUUACCCUGAAUGUGAUGAUGCGUAUGAUCGCCGGAAAGAGCUACUUCGGGACGGACCAGGUGUCGGAGGAAGGGAGGGAGUUCAGGGAGAUCAUGAGAGAGUUCUCGCAGCUUUUCGGAAACGCUGGGUACAUCGGGGAUUUCAUCCCAGCGUUGGGGUGGGCUGAUUUUCACGGGGUGAAGAAGAAGAUGAAGAGCGUGAUGAGGAAGGCGGACGUGUUUUUCCAGCAGCUGGUCGACGAGCAAAGCGGGAAAAGGAACAAGCGGUCGUCCGCGGCGGCGGUGGCGGCCGCGUCAGUGUCAUCAAAAGGGGUCGACGGGACGAGACCAUCGAGGACGACAUUCAUCGAUCGGAUGUUGGACGUCCAAGAACAGGAUCCGGAAUUCUACACCAAUACAACAGUCAAAAGCCUCGUUCUGGUGAGCACCGUCACUCUCUAUUUACCAUAUUUAAUUUACCGGCAAGUUAGGGACGGAGCAACCUUUUUUACCAACCUUUUAAAAAUUUAAAUUGUUAGAAUUUUUUUAUUAUUAUCGGAAAGUAUAUUUUCAAACUCAGAAUCUCGUGUCCUACAAUCUAAUAUACUAAACUAUUCAUAAAAUUUUAAAUCAUUAAUUGUUAUUUGAUUAAGUGGCAUGUUACUUCGCAUUUCCUCGCCUGUCCAAAUCUGUCGCGAGGCGGGUCAUGGAAAUGCAAUUUUUCCAUGAUCAUUACCAAACUAGAUGAAGACAACUUCAAAAUAAAAUAAAAAAAUCUUUGCAUUUCCUCGUUCGUUCAUUUUAAAUGACUAAUCGAUUAACGCUUUCGCCUGAGACAAAUUUUACAAGUUAAAGAAUUUUUUGGGGGGCAAGAAAAAGAUGAUCAUGUAAGAAAGCCGAUCACUUAGCGCCCACCUUGGUUGAAUUUCGGUAGCUAAUGCCAAUAUUUUCCACGCAAGGAAAAGAUUAAGGUGCAAGUGGGAGGGACUAAUGCGUCGACGAUGCAUUAAAAAAAUGGUAAAAGUCACUAUCAUGAUGAUGAUAUUGUUUGAUCAAAUAUAGUAUUUUCUCACAAUCUUAUUAUAAUCAUUGAAAUUAUUUGACUAGCAAGAUGAUCAUGUGACGUAGCUUAUCCUUUAAAAUUUCGUUCACCUCGUGAAAAAUAUGAUGUUCCUAAAAAAUAUUUUCCACGAAGUCAUUUUUUGAGAACAAUGAUAAUAUCUUUUAGUGCGUGGUUGGAACUUGAAAAUGAAUUGGAAAAUAUUUUAUGCCGUUCGGUGUGGAAAAUUCAAGUUGAUUUUCGUCUAUGGACUCAUUUUAAUAAAUUUUUAUUUUCUUAUUUAUUUUUUUUAAAUCAAAAUUUUAAACUUUUUAUUUUCUUUCUACUUUUUUCUUUUUAUUUAUUUUAUUUUUUCUUCCCCCCUCAUUCUUCUUUGCCGGUAGCUAGCGAUUGGCCAAGAAAGAAGAAAAGCAAAAAUAAAAAAUAAAAAAUAAAAAAUAAAUUUAAAAAAAUAAAAAAAUAAAAAAUAGAGAAGUGGGGCUACUAGAGUCUGGGAUAAGAAAGAGUGAGUGAGGAAAAUGUUUUCUCUAAUUUGAAAAAGGGAACUAUAUAUAUUUUUAUUUUGAAAGACCUUUUUCUCUUCAUGAAAAAUGUUUUUCUUAAUUAAUUUAUUUUCUGUGUAAUGCACGCUGAAAAAUCUGGAAAUAUGUUUUUCUGAAAGGGUUUUUUUGUUGAAAAGAGCAGAACCUAAGAAUGCAAUGGCAGCCUCCAUCAACUGGUCGCCCAGCGGAAGAAAAUAUCGUUUGGGUCAAACACUUGUGCUAUAUAGUCAAGAGGGUCAACAUCCGACAUAUAUCAAACCUCAGAAAAGAAGAAAGGGCUACCAGCAGUUCUUACAUUCUUAUGUUAUCAAGGAUAGAGAACUAAAAUUAGCCAUUCAACUGUGUGGCUUAAGUCCAAGAUAGGAAUUUAAGUUGAGUGGUGCAUGACAUUUGGUUAGAUGUAUUUUCUCGUGCACAAUGCCAUAUGUACUAAUACCGGUAUAAGGAGCUUGUUUACUAAGUGAUGUGUUAAACUUUAAGUAAAACUUAAAAAAAGGAUUAUAUUUAAUAACUAAUAUCAAUCUGAUACACUAUUCAGUAAACUAGUUUUGUUAUGAAUUUAUAUAACAUAUUAUCAAUGUGAAUUUUUUUUUAUAUAGAUAAAUAAGACUCUAAACUCUUAAUUGAAUGAGUUCAUUUGCACUUAUUAAAGUAUUUGAAUAUUUAAUGAUUUUUAUUUUGCUGUCAGUGUAUCAGAUGAAAGUAUUUUUAGUAAAGCUAGCAGUUCUUUUUCUAUAACAUGAAGACCCACUUUAGGUAAAUUAGCCCUGUGAAUUGUGCAGGCAAUGCUGGUUGCUGGAGCCGACACCACGGCCACCACGAUAGAAUGGGCAAUGAUACUUCUCCUCAACCACUCCGAAGCAAUGCGAAGGGCUUGCGACGAAAUAGAAUCCAAAGUUGGACAUGACCGCCUCCUUGAAGAAUCCGACCUCGCUAAUCUCAGCUAUCUUCAGAACGUCGUUAGCGAGACGAUGAGGUUGUAUCCGUCAGCUCCUCUUCUUCUACCACAUGAAUCCUCGGAAGACACCACCAUCGGUAACUUCCACGUUCCGCGAGGUACGAUGCUGCUGGUAAACGCGUGGAGCCUUCACCGGGACCCCAAGCUAUGGAAGGAUGCCGAGAGUUUCAUGCCGGAUAGAUUUGACGGCGGCCAAGAGAGUAAUGAAGGGUUCAAAAUGAUUCCUUUUGGUGCGGGAAGGCGAGUAUGUCCUGGGGCUGCUCUUGGGAAGAGAGUGGUGGGGUUAGCGUUAGGAGCAUUGCUCCAGUGCUUUGAGUGGCGGAGAGUCGGCUUGGAGGAGAUCGACAUGACGGAGGGCAACGGCCUCACUGCACCGCCGGCGGAGCCUUUGCAGGCCUUGUGCAAGCCGCGUGAAAUCAUCACGCCCUUCCUGGCCAGUGGAGAUGAUCACAUUAAAUAAGAAACGAUGAAGAAAUGCUAGCUAGAGACGCACAGUACGCGUAAGGUUAGGAAGCAACAUGGAACAAUAUGAAGUGGAGUAAUCUUUCUGGAUGUUUUUAUUUUACACUAGCCCUAUGAAAAUAAGUUAAGACUACAUUUGAUUUAGCUUUUCCAAGGAGUUUUGAGCUCCAAAACCCAUUCGAUAAAAAUUGUGAUAUUUGGCAAAUUAUUUUGAAAAUCACGUUGGAAAAAAAUUAACCUUGACAACGCUGAAAACCCAAAGCAAAUUGGGACGUGCUUUCGACUUUCGGUAUUUUUGGAAGGUAAGUUUUUCAAUUAAUGAAGUUAGAUUUUUUUACCCUGAAAAAACUCACUAGAGACAGCCAUUAGGGGCUGUGUUCAAAAGUGCGUGAAUGCAUGAUUGCUAAUAUUCUUGCACAACUUUGAGAAGUUUUUUCUCUACUUGACUUGUUUUGGUUGGUCCAUGUUCACGAGCGAUCAAUCUAAUUAAACCAUAACUUAAUUGGGGAAUGCUAUGCAUGUUAGGAACGGUUAACAACCCUACAUAAUCUUUUCGGUAUCAUGUAUUUCAAUUUAGUUUCAACAUGCAUUUGUCAACUACUUUUCUAAAAAUAUGAGAUGCAAUUAUAAUUUUUGGUGACAUAAUCAAGUGAAAGGUUCACAUCAAGUCGCGCCUUGGGAUGAUUGCUUUUCAUGUAUGUUUUGAAAAAUGGAUGUGCGUAAAAAGUAUGACAUGGCAUAUAAUGCCCACAUCAUAUGAUGACGUGGCGUGUAAAGACAUGUUGUGGUAACAAUGAUGAAUCACGUGGCAAGCGAAUGUAUAAAUGGAUAUUUGUUGAGAUGACAUGGGUGACCGGAUCACUAUUUUGAGUCGACUUAUUUGGGCAUGUAUAUUGUCUCAAAAGAUGCACGUGACCGCUUCAUAGCAACUCUCUCUUAUAGCCGGUUUUGAAAAAUUAAACUUUUUCGCCGAAAUUUUUAUGAUGUUUCUGAUGAGUUUGUUAAAAAAUGCACCCGUUGCGCUUGUUAAUUAAUUAAAUAACAAAAUAUUUCGUCUUUCAAUUUGACGACAUCAAUGGGCAAGUUCAAAACGAGCUUGUGAAUCAAGCAUAUUUUGUUUCCUAAUCCCACCGUAACAAAAAAUCUAUGUAGAAAAUUGGGCCAAACCGGAUUGGGCAAAGUUUAAUAACUAAUAGGCUUUGAAAAAGCCCUCCCAAAAGGGCCUCUUUGGGCCUUUGUUACUUAGGCAUGCCGGUGGUGUGUAAAUUGUCCAAAAAACCCGAACCUAUUAUACUUUAUCCAAUUCAAUUUUAGAUAUUUUAAUUUCAUAAAUUAAGUCCUAAACAUUUUUGCGUUUUGUGUUGAGUUAAUCCGGCCAAUUUUAACUGGAAUUUUUUGACAUUGACGCUAAUAGUCCUAUGUGGCAAGGGCAGUGCUAAUGGGGAUAAUGUAUAUAAUUUAUUUUGUAAAUUGUUUCGUUUUUCUUAUAUUCAAUUUCCUUUUUUCCCCCAAUUGGCCAACCCUCGUCGGUAGAAUGAAAGACAAAGAAAGAAAUAAUAAAAAUAUGGUCCACAUUAGUGUUGAUUGUCCUUUGCGGCACUACUCAUGUCUACAUUAGUGAUUUUUGAUUAAAAUUGACAAGAUGAACUCAAUUGACAAAACGUGAAAAUAGUUAUGAUUCAAUUGGCACAAUUGGAAGGUCUAAAACUGAAUCGAUCAAAUUGCAAUAUAUUCAUGAUUUUUCGGACAAUUCUUUCUACCAGUGGCCAUUAGACUCAUAAUCAAGUCCAUCCUCAAUUUUCCAACCUCAAAUAUGAUUUAAUCAUUGUACGAUCUCCUGGAUAAAUAACAUAGGGUUGGGUCUAGUCUAAUUAAGGCUUUCCUUUUGGACAUAGAAUCAAAUUAUCUAUUUAUAGCUGGAUAACAUCAAUAUUAUUUAAGAAAAGUCUAUUUUUAUUUCAACGACAUAACAACGUGUUUUAAAUCAAAGGUGCCCUAAUUUCCAAAAGACGACACAUUACUUUAGGCUAGACAAUUUUGCUAGAAUAUUGUCCGGUGAGGGAGGUUGGGUGGGAUUUUCCAUCGAAAUUCACCAUUAUUUAGGUGUUGGGACCCAAAAUGGAACCAGGAUUGUGUCCAGUGGGAUUUUUGGCCAUCUCAUGCCGAACAGCAGGGCUUGAGUGCCCGGCCUUACAUCUUCAGCACGUAACCCACGGACGGUGGUUUAUGACAUCGAACUCGAACACGACAACAUGUCGUGACGUCAUAAAACAAUAUCAUUAUAUGCUGUGAUAUUUUCGGGCUUAAUUACCACCGCACGUUCCUGUAAUUGUACGGUUACAAACGAGACUUGGAUAAACAAGUGUGCAGACUCCCAGGCUGGAGUGCCUCUGAAAUUGGUAUCCGAUGCUGGGAAGGAUAAGCAAUGACUAUUUCCAUUUGGUUUCUUCCACAAUCAAAAAGGCCACAAGGUGAAGAGCACCAUGAUCUUCGACCUUGUCGUUUUUGCCUUCUUGUAUGAUGAAUUGCCAAUGUUCGGCCCAUCAAUCUUCACGUUUUGAAAGGUGUGCGAAGGACGGAACUGUUCGUGUCCGUUCAUAAGUGUGAACUCAUCCUUUGGACAACUGAUGGUUGAAAUAUAAAGAAAAACGAUUAGAUGAUAGUUUAUAAUUUAUUAUAAGAAUAAUAAUCUGUUUUAAAUAAUAAAAAAUCAAAUAGUAGAUAACUAUAAAUUUUGGAAAAAUUUCAAAUAAGAACCCAAAGUGCUAUCAUUUUCUCAAAAGAGGACCUGAAGUGAAAUUUAUCUCAAAUAAGGACCCAAAGUGCCUUCAUUUUCUCAAAAGAGGACCUGGAGUGGAGUCUGUCUCAAAUAAGAACCCAAAGUGAUUAUUUAGUCUUAAAGAAGGAUCUCAUUUGCCGGCCGGUGAAUAGAUACAUCUCCGAUGCAUAUUCCGGUAGCUUGGUUAGGGGUAUUUUUGUCAAAUUUUUUUUUUUAAAUUUUCGAUUGUCUUGUUCUUUAUUAUUGUUAUUAUUAUUAUUAUUAUUAUUAUUAUUAUUAUUAUUAUUAUAGGUCAAUGGUGGCACUAUUCAUCAUCUUCUUCGUCUCAUGUUCGUCUUUUUCUAAAGAACAUCAGACUUAGGAAGGGAUGGCGAGCAUUGGCUGUUGGUGAGGGCCCGGCGAGGGUUGGACGCCCAUCGCCGGCAGUAGGCAAGGGCCACUAAGCCCUCGCCGGCAGUGGGUGAGGGUUUGCAGGCCAACCCUAGCCAGAUUUGGGGAGGGUGGCCUUGGCUACGGCUGGCGAGGGUUGUUGAGCCCUUGCUGGUUGUGGGCGAGGGCUUGCAGGCCCUCGCCGGCCCUUAUCGGUGGCCGGUGAGGUGGGCGAGCCCUCGCCCAAGGACGGCAAGGGGCGACCUCGCUGAUGGCCGUGAGGGGCGACCUCCCCCACCUUCGUUUACUGCUCCACCGAUAACCUCGUCUUCUGCUAGAACUACGACUAGGACGCCCGCAUCGCUUUCUUUAUCCCUUCCUCCCACCAUUGCUCCCAGUUCGACGACUUCUUCAGCUACCCCUUUUGCCCUCAAGGACCUUCUUGUAGGGCCUUGAUUUGGAUGACCCCCCUCCCCCAUGGCCAGCGAGGGCUCGAUGGCCCUCGCUUGUUGUCAGCGAUGGGCGUCAAGCCCUCGCUCGCUGGCCUUUCCUCAAGUCUGGUGUUCUUGAUUUGGGCAAGAAAAAGUGAAUAGGUUAUGAAGAAGAUGAUGAACAGGGCAACCGAAAAUGAAAAAAGAAGAAGAUGAAAAUACCAAAAUCAGGCCACCAGAAUAUACAUUAGAAAUGCAUCUAUUCACCGGCUGACGAGUGAGAUCCUUCUUUGAAACUAAAUGACUACUUUGGGUCAUUCUUUGAGACAAACUUCACUUUAGGUCCUCUUUUGAGAAAAUGAUGGCACUUUGAGUUCUUAUUUGAGACAAACUUCACUUCAGAUCUUAUUUUGAGAAAAUGAUGACACUUUGGGUCCUUAUUUGAAAUUUUCCCAUAAAUUUUUAUGGGUCACUUCUUUAAAAAAUUGUGAUUCACAACAAACUCCAAACAUAAUAUGAUUGAUUUUUUUUGUCAAACAUAAAUAUGAUUGAUUGUACAGUUCCUUUUUUCUCAAGAAAAAAAUAAUUUAAAAAAUAUUUUUUGAAAAUGAUUAUUUGAAUUGCUCGAAAUAAAUUCAUCCAUAAUAAAUGUUUUCAUUAUCAAUGACAAUUUAUGUUGCGAAUGAUGAUAAUAUUUUUCGUCAUUCAUUUUUGUAAGUGAUUCAAGUGAUCAUUUUUUUUUUUUGGAAAAUAAUUUUCAAAUCAAUCAAGAUUUGCGAAACAAAUGCACCAUAUGUUUACAUCUAAUUGAGAAAAAUGCAUUUGAACUCUUGCAACUUCUAUUCGAGUCGUAAUGUUAUUUUGAAUUUCUUUAUCAUGCUAUUAAAUUUUAUAGAAUUAACAUAGUUAAUGAAAUAUCCUUAUCGUAAUAUUUAACUAUUGAAUACCCUGGACAUGAUAGUCUUUUGAGUAAACAUGUCUACAUGAAGUUCACAUAUAGAUUUUAUUGACACUAACUUAUUAAAGAAAACAGGCAUAUGGGUUAAAUUUCAUGUCUAAUAGGUUUGACACAAACAAGGUGCGAUGACUAAUGUCAUGUCUUGAAGGUUGUCAUGAAAUUGAUUGGAACUUGAUUAGUUUAAUUUGACUUCGCUAAUUUCAUGUCGUGUUUGAGUUGUAUUAUCACGUCCUAUCAAAAAUUGCUAACCCUAAUAAAGCAAUCUUGCACUCCAUGCAUCUCCACAUAUUGAUCGAUGCACCCUUCCGGCACCCUCUCCAGCUCCGCCGUAAGGAAGUAGCUCACGACGAAUCUGCCCCCGCCGUUCACCAUCGCGUACGAGUAAAUCAGCUUUCUGGAAGUGUAUCUUUAUGGUUAAUACAUAGCUCCAUGCUUGUCGUCUAUAGUGGACAGUUCAUAAAAAAUUGACGAAAACCAACGCAUGCACCUCCGCGCAAAUCACGGAAGAUAAACGACCCUCCUUCAUGUUCAUAUCAUCUUGCCUCAUCAGUCGCGCACUUUUCCUUAACUAUAAUUUAUUCUUUAAAUGGUUUUAAAUUGAUGCGUUCCUCGUCGCCUAGUAGUAUACAAGAACUUCAACUCAACAGACAGUUCAAUCGACACUUUUCCACUGAGAAAAUGGAGGAAGAAGCUCCUCAUCAAUGGCUGAACCUAGCACUGAUCUCUCUCUCCCUCCUCUUCCUCCUCUACAGAUUCUUCCUCCACAAAAGCACGAAUCCCAACCACCGCCUGCCACCGAGCCCUCCUUCCCUCCCUAUCAUCGGCCACCUCCACCUGGUCAAGGAGCCCCUCCACCGAACCCUACAUGAUCUCUCGCUCCAGCACGGCCCAGUCUUCUUCCUCAGGUUUGGCUCGCGCAAAACCGUAGUUGUCUCCUCGCCGCUGGCCGUCGAGGAGUGUUUCACUGGGAAGGAUGUCACCUUCGCCAACCGGCCCCACUUGCUGCCGGGCAAGCUCCUCGCCUACGACUACAGCACCAUGGGCUCAAGCCCUUACGGUGACUACUGGCGCAACCUCC
rnacentral:lncRNA from 1 species